rnacentral:lncRNA from 1 species
AAAAGGUUUCUCAUGAAAUAUUUUCCACGCACAAAGAGCCACGUCCCUUCUCUUCUCACGCCCAAAAGGAUAGGGAUAAGUUGGUUUUCGUUUGAAUUCAAAUUUGAUUUGAAUUCAAAUGUGUAACCUCUUGUCUUUAUCCUCUCACACGGAUAAGACACGUUCGACGUUGUUUUAAAAAAAGGAGAAAGGUGGGACGUGCGUAGAAAUUUUAGGAGAGAAACUUUGGGGCAUGAGGAAGGCUUCUACGUAAGGUGAAGGUCCAAAACCUUCCGAGAGAAAAAGAAAGAAAAGAGAGAAAAUUGGGUGCAGGGUUUUUGGUGUGUACCCUAGGGUUUCUACCUAGGGUUCGGGAAGUGAGAUUGGUGUGCCACGAGUGUCGUGAGUCCACCAAAUUUUAGAGAGAGAUCCAUCAGCCUCUCAAGCAACUGUGCAAACAAUCCGGAGUAUCCGAGAAGUCAGCACACAUCGAUCGAAGGAGUUCGAUCAACAUCUGCCAUCAAAAGGGUGAAAUCACGAACUAGCAUUCGUGAGGAGCUGAUC